rnacentral:rRNA from 1 species
AUUGAACGCUGGCGGCAUGCCUUACACAUGCAAGUCGAACGGUAACAGGUCUUCGGAUGCUGACGAGUGGCGAACGGGUGAGUAAUACAUCGGAACGUGCCUAGUAGUGGGGGAUAACUACUGGAAAGAGUGGCUAAUACCGCAUGAGAUCUACGGAUGAAAGCAGGGGAUCGCAAGACCUUGUGCUACUAGAGCGGCAGAUGGCAGAUUAGGUAGUUGGUGGGAUAAAAGCUUACCAAGCCGACGAUCUGUAGCUGGUCUGAGAGGACGACCAGCCACACUGGGACUGAGACACGGCCCAGACUCCUACGGGAGGCAGCAGUGGGGAAUUUUGGACAAUGGGCGCAAGCCUGAUCCAGCAAUGCCGCGUGCAGGAUGAAGGCCUUCGGGUUGUAAACUGCUUUUGUACGGAACGAAAAGCCCUGGGUUAAUACCCUGGGGUCAUGACGGUACCGUAAGAAUAAGCACCGGCUAACUACGUGCCAGCCGCCGCCGUAACAC